AGGGCUAUAGCUCAGUGGUAGAGCAUCUGCCUUGCGCGCAGAAGGUCCCAGGUUCGAUUCCUGGCAUCCCCA